UGGGGGAUAUUGCACAAUGGAGGAAACUCUGAUGCAGCGACGCCGCGUGAGUGAAGAAGUAUUUCGGUAUGUAAAGCUCUAUCAGCAGGGAAGAAAGACCUCGAAAGAGGGGAUGACGGUACCUGAGUAAGAAGCCCCGGCUAACUACGUGCCAGCAGCCGCGGUAAUACGUAGGGGGCGAGCGUUAUCCGGAUUUACUGGGUGUAAAGGGAGCGUAGGUGGCAGGGCAAGUCAGAUGUGAAAUGCCGGGGCUCAACCCCGGAACUGCAUUUGAAACUGUCCGGCUAGAGUGCAGGAGAGGUAAGUGGAAUUCCUAGUGUAGCGGUGAAAUGCAUAGAUAUUAGGAGGAACACCAGUGGCGAAGGCGGCUUACUGGACUGUAACUGACACUGAGGCUCGAAAGCGUGGGGAGCAAACAGGAUUAGAUACCCUGGGUAGU
rnacentral:rRNA from 1 species